rnacentral:rRNA from 1 species
GACGAACCGAGCGAACGUUAUUCGGAAUCACUGGGCUUAAAGGGUGCGUAGGCGGGCUGUCAAGUCUGGGGUGAAAUCCGGCAGCUUAACUGUCGAACUGCCUUAGAUACUGAUGGCCUCGAGGGAGGUAGGGGCAUGCGGAACUGUAGGUGGAGCGGUGAAAUGCGUUGAUAUCUACAGGAACUCCGGUGGCGAAAGCGGCGUGCUGGACCUCUUCUGACGCUGAGGCACGAAAGCUAGGGGAGCAAACGGG